rnacentral:rRNA from 1 species
UACGACUACAUAUCAGGCAUAUCAAUAAGCGGAGGAAAAGAAACUAACAAGGAUUCCCUUAGUAACGGCGAGUGAAGCGGGGAGAGCUCAAAUUUGAAAUCUUCAAGGUUUUACCUUGACGAAUUGUAGUUUAAAGAAGUGUUUUCUGUUGAAGUUUUGGUAAAAGUUCUUUGGAAUAGGACAUCAUAGAGGGUGAGAAUCCCGUAUUUGACCAUUAUUUUCAGCUGUGUGAUACACUUUCAAAGAGUCGGAUUGUUUGGGAAUGCAGUCCAAAAUGGGUGGUAAAUUUCAUCUAAAGCUAAAUAUUGGCGAGAGACCGAUAGCGAACAAGUACCGUGAGGGAAAGAUGAAAAGAACUUUGAAAAGAGAGUUAAACAGUACGUGAAAUUGUCAAAAGGGAAGCGUUUGACACCAGUGUUGUUUUCUCGAAAAUCAAUUAAAAAAAGUUGGAUUUUGUGUUGUAUUGACCUUAACAGCUUGCUUCACUCUUUUCCAGCUUUUUUUAAUGCACUUUUCGUUUAACAAGCCAACAUCAGUUUCUUUUGUUGUAAAAGGGUCAUUGGAAGGUGGCUUUCUCUUCGGAGAAAGUGUUUAUAGCCUUUGAUCUCUGCAAUCGGAGAGACUGAGGUCUGCAGCGUAGAUCCUUCGGGGUUAGAUACAUUUGUGCUAAGCUACAGCUUUUCAUAGACAACUUGUUGACUAUGUUUAGUCUUGUGACUUACCCGCUUAUGCUAUUUUACCUACGCUUAGGAUGUUGAGCGCAUGUCUCUCUCU